GAGGUACUCAUUGGCCUUUCCAGGCUGCCACCGGCAAGCGAAUCCCAAACGCAGGAGGAAUGAAUCUCAACAAGCUCGCGUCAAAGGCUAGCAACGCGGAGCUCUUUACUGGAGCACUAAACGAGGUUUCUACUACCAAGGACGUUGUUUAGAGUCCCGGCAGUGCGGUGGUUGCAUUGAGCAAACGUGGAGAAAACAAAAGGCGUACGGCAUGCCCGUUCUGCCAGCCACUCGUACGCGUGCAAGCCACGAGAUCUGAUUGCUAUUACCAGCCAGCCAAGAAAAAAAAAAUGAAGAAAAUGGGGUACACACGAGGUUUCUUUCUUGCAAUUGCUUCCCCAACGUUCUACUUACACAGGCGGUCUUUAUUUUAUAGAGCGGGCUCACAUGGUUUGCGCCUAGGAAACCUCAAACGUUGUUUUCGGGGGUCCGGAGCCCAGCAGCAACAACCAAAGGCUAAUACUUUAGCCUCCUUGCCUUGUGUCUUCAGCUCACUGAGGACGAUUCCACAAAUCAAGCUGCCGCCUCAAGCAGGGACCACUUUGUCGAUCGUAUAAUUCUAAGCGGAGAACCACCCGCAGCGGCAGCCAGCGGUGGGACACAGCAUUCCUGGGAAUUAAAGCUCAAAGCUUUAAAAAAAAGGAAGGAAAGAGAAAGACACUCUGCGUACCUCCGGAGUGGCAGAGGUGGCCUAGAAAACCUUUAAGCGGCGGAGGUGGACACGAACGACGCCGACCCGAGCCGAGAGUAAAGUAUCUGGGGCUGCUUCUCUCUCGGCUUUGAUGUUCUUGUUGACUAAGUGAACACUUCGAAAAACUCUACGCAGCUUUUGUCGCAUUCACUGUUGUGUGUGGGAUCAUGGGAGCCUCGCAGCGCAAACUGGUCCCGGACAGAACUUUGGAAGCUGAGUGCCGGCAGCGCUAUUUGCCGGCCAAAUACGUCGCCAUCGAUUGUUACGCUUGGAGGGGUGCGCUGUGCUGGGAGGAGAAAGAAUCCAGCGGCUAUGAUUUUUAUUCCCGACGCGAGACGUCCACCACUGCGGGUACACAAUGUCCUCUUACGCAAGCAACACCAAGAAAAAGGAUUUUUGCAGAGAGUUGGCCGAGGCUAGCUCCAGAUUACUAGGAUAUGGACCCCGGAACAAUCAUCAGAGACAAGGCGAAAUCGAAAAUAUCCAUGCUUUUAUCCGAGACUUGUAUCAAAGUUACGUUCCAUUACAUCAAUCACUGUGUUUGCUA